rnacentral:rRNA from 1 species
CCCUUAGAUGUUCUGGGCUGCACGCGCGCUACACUGAGUGGAUCAGCGGGUCAGGUUGCGCGAAAGUGUUUCCUAAUCUUGAAAUCCGCUCGUGAUGGGGAUUGACGGUUGCAAUUUUCUGUCAUGAACGAGGAAUACCUUGUAAGCGCGGGUCAUCAUCCCGCGCUGAAUACGUCCCUGCCCUUUGUACACACCGCCCGUCGCUCCUACCGAUUGAGUGGUCCGGUGAGGCUUUGGGAUCUGGAUGGAAAGAGCGUUUCGCUGUUUCUGCCCGGAAAACUCAGUCGAACCUUAUCAUUUAGAGGAAGGAGAAGUCGUAACA